UACGGGGGGGGCAAGCGUUGUUCGGAAUUACUGGGCGUAAAGGGCGCGUCGGCGGAAUGGCAAGUCGGUCGUGAAAUCCUUCGGCUCAACCGAAGAACGUCGAUCGAAACUGCCGUUCUUGAGGAUUGCAGAGGAGACUGGAAUUCCCGGUGUAGCGGUGAAAUGUGUAGAGAUCGGGAGGAACACCGGUGGCGAAGGCGGGUCUCUGGGCAAUUCCUGACGCUGAGGCGCGAAAGCGUGGGGAGCGAACAGG
rnacentral:rRNA from 1 species